GGAGAGGGUAUAGCUCAGUGGUAGAGUGUGUGCCUAGUAAGCACAAGGUCCUGGGUUCAAUCCCCAGUACCUCCA